rnacentral:rRNA from 1 species
UGCCAGCAGCCGCGGUAAUACGGAGGGUGCGAGCGUUGUCCGGAACCACUGGGCGUAAAGAGUACGUAGGCGGUUAUUUAAGUCACCUGUGAAAUUUCGGGGCUCAACUUCGAACCUGCAGGUGAUACUGGAUAACUUGAGCACGGUAGGGGCAAGUGGAAUUCCCGGUGUAGCGGUGGAAUGCGUAGAUAUCGGGAAGAACAUCGGUGGCGAAGGCGACUUGCUGGGCCGUAGCUGACGCUGAGGUACGAAAGCGUGGGGAGCGAACAGGAUUAGAUA